rnacentral:rRNA from 1 species
CCUACGGGUGGCAGCAGUGGGGAAUAUUGCACAAUGGGGGGAACCCUGAUGCAGCGACGCCGCGUGGGUGAAUGAGUAUUUCGGUAUGUAAAGCCCUAUCAGCAGGGAAGAACAAUGACGGUACCUGACUAAGAAGCACCGGCUAAAUACGUGCCAGCAGCCGCGGUAAUACGUAUGGUGCAAGCGUUAUCCGGAUUUACUGGGUGUAAAGGGAGCGCAGGCGGCGCGUUAAGCCUGGUGUGAAAGCCCGCGGCCCAACCGCGGGACUGCAUUGGGAACUGGCGCGCUGGAGUGCCGGAGGGGUAGGCGGAAUUCCUAGUGUAGCGGUGAAAUGCGUAGAUAUCUGGAGGAACAUCAGUGGCGAAGGCGACUAUCUGGCACAUAACUGACGCUGAGGAGCGAAAGCGUGGGUAGCAAACAGGAUUAGAUACCCUAGUAGUC